rnacentral:ncRNA from 1 species
CGGCGACGGAUCAUUCAAGUGUCUGCCCUAUCAACUUUCGUCGGUACGGUAUUUGCCUACCGAGGUUCUUACGGGUGACGGGGAAUCAGGGUUCGAUUCCGGAGAGGGAGCCUGAGAAACGGCUACCACAUCCAAGGAAGGCAGCAGGCGCGCAAAUUACCCAUUCCCGACGCGGGGAGGUAGUGACGAAAAAUAACAAUGCAGGACUCGUUCGAGGCCCUGUAAUUGGAAUGAGUACACUUUAAAAGCUUUAACGAGUAUCCAUUGGAGGGCAAGUCUGGUGCCAGCAGCCGCGGUAAUUCCAGCUCCAAAAGUAUAUAUUUAAGUUGUUGCGGUUAAAAAGCUCGUAGUUGGAUUUUGGGCGCAGGCGGCCGGUCCGUCGCAAGGCGUGUACUGGACGUCCUGGCCUUCCCUCCGGUUCUCCGCCGGUGCUCUUGACUGAGUGUCGGCGGCGGCCGGAACGUUUACUUUGAAAAAAUUAGAGUGUUCAAAGCAGGCUCUCGAGCCUGGAUAAUGGUGCAUGGAAUAAUGGAAUAGGACCUCGGUUCUAUUUUGUUGGUUUUCGGAGCGCGAGGUAAUGAUUAAGAGGGACAGACGGGGGCAUUCGUACUGUGCCGUUAGAGGUGAAAUUCUUGGAUCGGCGCAAGACGAACGACUGCGAAAGCAUUUGCCAAGAAUGUUUUCUUUAAUCAAGAGCGAAAGUCAGAAUGUCGAAGACGAUCAG